UCAUCCGUGGAAUGCGGAUGGCGCGCCACCUAGCAGGGUACGGGACACGUUGCAGCUGGCAAAGCCCGGGCCAUUUUGCACCGCUAUUUCUUUCUUUCCUUCUAUUUUCCAUCACUGUGAAGCGCUGUAAUAAUCUCUCUAUCUGACAACCCACAAAGAAAGAGCAACAAAAUUGAGAAAACAGAAGAGGUGAGCGUUCAUCCGCAGUAGGGAAUUCAGCUUUGGAGAUGGGUAAUUAUAUUUAUGAUGAGGAGCUAAAAAGAUUGCAGAAACUAGUAUCAAGCCUCACAAAGGAGAUCGAUUACAAAAACUAUAGAUUGCUGGAUAUAGAGCUUAAUUAUAAUGAUAAAUCUUCAACUUUGUGCAAAAUUGCCGUGAGCUUGACCGAAGAGAUCAACAAGAAGGAUGAAAAGUUGUCUGAAAUGAUGCACAAGUACGCUGAAGCCUCUGCAACUGUUGGCAGAUUAAAGGAGGAGGAGAAAAGAAUAAAAGAAGCCUGCAUUGAAGAGAUGGGAAAGAUGGAUUUCAUUAAAGUACAGAAUGGAAGGCUGAAGCAUGACAUGGAAUGUCAAAAGAGAAUUUGAGAGGCAAUUAACAUUUCUGGAGAAAUAUCAGGCUGAGAAGGACCUGGCGCAAAAAAAUAUGAUGGAUAAGGAGAAGAAGGUGGUGCUCCUCUCGUCCCCCCUCUGCUCGAGAUGUGGCCUCAUCUGCCAGAUAUGCCAACCCUCCGCUACUCCCUACACUAGAAUUGGGUCUUGCUAAUUCAUCUCUCAAGUGAGUAGGACUCUGCACCACGACUUCUGCUGGAUGUCCCGCAGAGGAUGCCCGUUGUCUCCCUGAAUCACUCGGGUCCCAAAUCUCUGCCUGUCGCUCUACAACGUGGGCAAACUGCUCGUAAUGAAACCGAAGGGUCAUAUCCUGCAUCAAGAUCCGCGUGAGCUGCCUCCACCUCUCGUUCAUAUAUUUUCUCACACAGAGAACCUGCUUUUCAAAAUGUCCCCACAGGUGCUCAUGUAAGAUCAAUUGAAACAUUUGAUCCACGCGCCACAAGAAGCUCACCACGUGUUCUCCAUCACGUUGCUUACCUCCCAUUGCGGAGAGUAGCUCAUGUUCCCAACGAUCCCAGAUUAAGUCUAUUGCCCCCAGGUUCGGGUCCGACAACUUGAAACUCGGUCCUCCUGGGUUCAUACCAAAUGACAAGAUAUCUCGUGACCUGUACAUCAAGUCGAGUAUUAGGUCAAUUACCAAAUAUCCCACUCCUUGACCUAAGACCAAGCCCAAAAGCAUAUGGCCCCUUACUGGAGUAUCCCAAUGCAAAUUUAUACCAUACUUCACACACAUGUUUGGGGACACUUCACUUCACUCCCUUCCUAAUCGUGACUUAGGAAUGGAGACUUUUAUUCAGACUUAUACCCCAUUGCUAAACACAACCUAGACCCCUUUCAACACCCCUAGGUGUACAGGAGAGACUCAUCCCAACCGUGCUUUGAUACCAAAUUGUGACAACCCAGCAUUUCCUCAAUUUAUAUUCACAACUAGCUUAUAACUCAUAUAGAUGGGCUUAGAUUUGCCUCACAAUUAUAUAACAACGGAAGCAAAUUAAUUAUAAAUACACAAUUCAAGGGCAUUUCCUUACAUAGUAAGGCAUCAACCUAUCAAAUACAACAAUUGCAAUAUUUGAGUUCCUUAUCACAACUCACACCCCAAAUAUCUUUUCAGUCGGGACUGUCCUGUAGUCAUUGCCACCUAAGACCGACAUGCCAAAUGAUCUGAUCUUGAUAUCUGCUCCUACUCCUGUAAUAAUGUUAAAAAGAAGGUGAGCCACAAGAAAAGAGGGUGAGGCAGUAGCGAGGCCCAGCAAGUAGUCAACUUUGGGUAGGGAGCUGUUGGCCGGUCGCGAACGAUUACCCGUCCAUCUUUCGGUUGUCUUUGUUGGGAGCUUAGUAACUGCUAUGUGUAGUGAUGGAAAAAUUACAUAAUAGAUAUGAAUUGGUAUAUGCUUGAAGAUUCGAAUAAAUAGAAUGUGAUGAAGUAUAAUCGCUACAAGAAAAGUGGCUUUUAGUGGCCACUUUUAGUGGCGGCCAAAAGAUAUUUGUCACAAUUACAACUAUUAGUGGCGGCCAAAGAAUGUUUGUCACUGAAAAGACCUAUUUAGCAGCAGUUGAACAAAACUGGCCACUAAAAAGCUCAUUAUUUGUGACGGCCACAAUCUGUGGCCACUAAAGGUGCAUUAUUGUGAUAGUUGACCGUGGUGGCCACUAAAAGACGAUUAUUUGUGAUGGCCACUAAAGGUGGAUUAUUUGUGACAACCCAACAUGGCGGCCGCUAAAAGCUUUGUCUACUCAAACAAGCUUAUUUGUGAGGGCUAGCAUUGGCGGCCACUAAAACCAUAUUAUUUGUGAAGGCCACGUGUGGCAGCCAUUAAAGAUGGAUUAUUUGUGACAACCGAACAUGGUGGCCACUAAAAGCGUGGAAUGUUGGUCGGUCUACUCAAACAAGCUUAUUUGUGAGGGUCGUCAUUGGCGGCCACUAAAAAUAUAUUAUCUGUGAUGACUGGACGUGGCGGCCACUAAAAGCUUGAGACGUUGAUUUGGCUCCCUUAUUCUUAUUUGUGAGGGCUGGCGUUGGCGGUCACUAAAAGAUGACUAUUUGUGACGGCCACUAAAGGUGGAUUAUUAAUAUAGAAAAGUACAACAAUGUCUUAAUAUAAAAUGUCACAUAAAGUAUAAAAUAUAAUUAAUAAUUAAUAAAAAAUAUUUUCAUUCUUAAUAACAUUCUUCAUUCAAUAUACUUUGAUGCAUGUUUUUAUUUCAUAAUAGAACUCAUUCUUCCUUCAAUAUUCUUAAAAAGUAUAUUUUUUUAUUUCAAUAUACUUUUAUAAUUAAUAAUUAAUAAUAUACUUAUUCUUAAAAAGUAUACUUUUAUAUUCUUAAAAUAUAAAAUAUAAUUAAUAAUUAAAAACAAAAUAUGUUUUUAUUUCAAUAUUCUUAAAAAGUAUUUUUUUAUUACUAUGAAAUUUACAAAAAGAGAAAAGAUAUUUUGUUUAUUUUUCUUUUCCUUCAAAAUAUAAACAAAAGUUUCAAAAAUAUCUAAAAUUUACAAAAAAGGAAAAGAUAUUUUGUUUAUUUUUCUUUUCCUUCAAAAUAUAAAUAAAAGUUAAAAAAUGUAAAUCCCAUCUCUCCGUAUACAUUGGCCCCUUCAUCUCUCUCCCUCAUCUCUCCUGCCUCAUUUAUUUCCCUCCAUCUCCCUCUCAUCUUGCCUUCACUGCUUCCACCCCGUCACCUCCGCUGCCUGACUUCCGCAACCCUCUCCUUCUCUAUCUCCGUCUUCGGCUUUGGCUCCGUCACAGCCUCCUUGUUGCCUCAACGCUGUCACUGUAGCUGUCGCUGCCACCGCUGCCUCAACGCCGCCGUCGUCUCCAUCUCCAUCGCAGCCUCCAACUCUAGUAGGCAUUUUGAGUUCAUGUGAAAGGCGUUUCUACUUCGCCCUUCCUAAUCAAGCAAACAGGAAUUCCAUGAAAUAAUAAUUGAAAACGAUGAGAAGUUGAAAGCGUUGAAAACCGAGUGCGGCAAGGAGGUUUACAAUGCCUGUUGGAAUUGAACGAGUUCAAUCCAAGCGGGAGAUAUGUAGUCCCUGAAAUUUGGAAUUCCAAGGAAGGAAGAAAGGACAGUGUGAAAGAGACCAUAAAAUACAUAAUCAGGCAAUGGAAGGAUCACAAACGUAAGAGGAAAUGAAGCCUACAUUUCUCAGUCACCUAGUUUUGGAGGGACUAAUACUAAGUAUAGCCAAGUGAUAUAGGAUUUUGUUGUAUACCAUGUACUGAAGACAUCGUAAUACAAUGUUUAGGUUAUGGAAGUCAAACAGGAAGCCGAGCAGUUUCCUGCAGCAGGUGAUGUGGAGUUUCAUGGUCACAGGUAAGAUCUUGACUUAGAACUUUUGUCUUAAGCUCACAAGUUGGGACAUGAAUUCCACUCGGGAAUGAUAGAUGGUCUUGUAGCUGCUUCACAAAUAGAGCUGUCUGUGUACCAAAUAACUUAAUGGCUGGACUUGUGCAGGUUUCCCAACCCUGCCUUGCUAUUCGAGCAAUUCUGAACAUUUCUAGUGUUGAAAGUAUUAUGUUUUACCAGUCAGUAUCAAACUCGAUUGAAGGAAGAUAGGUAUUCAAUUCAGCCGUAUUUUCUUGGCCUAAACAUGUAGGGACAUGCAAUUGAUAGCUACCCUCAGCCCCCUAUUUUCUUGGCAUAAACAUUCAGGGACAUGCAAUUCAUAGCUACCCUUUAGGAACACCCACCAAGCCCCUUCAAAUGAAACAAGUUGUUUUCUUUUUUAUGGUGGAAGUACAUUCCAAUGAAACAAGUUGGACUCAGAAUAUUUGUAACAAGGCAGGUACGGAUAGAAAAGUAAACCCUUAACCAAGAGAAUGAUUUACAUAUAAUUUUUAAAUAACCCUUAUUUUAUUGCAUUUGUAUAUAAUUUUUUUGUCUAGAUAUAUUAAAAAUCAUGUAUGAUUUGUUCUUUCUAAAUACCAAAUUUCAGCUUAUGG